AGGGCAAGGUACAGAGUUCCAAGCAAUCAAAUGAAGACGAUGAAGAAGAAGAGUUUGAUGAGAAUGACGGCCAAUCAGACGAAGACAAUGAAGAUGACAGUGUCGGGGGCGAGGAAACUGAAACUGACGAUGAAGCUGCCAAGGCUCAACCUGGAAAGAGCGCUGGCAAGGCACAACAUUCGGGGACAGUUAGGAGAAGCUCAAGACUGAACAAUAUAUAGUGGUUAUCCUGCUGCGUCAACUAAAAAAU
rnacentral:rRNA from 1 species